rnacentral:rRNA from 1 species
AGCCCGUUAAUGGGUGAUGGCGUGCCUUUUGUAGAAUGAACCGGCGAGUUACGAUAACGCGCGAGGUUAAGCCGAUGAGGCGGAGCCGUAGCGAAAGCGAGUCUGAACAGGGCGUUCAGUGCGUUGUCGUAGACCCGAAACCAGGUGAUCUACCCAUGUCCAGGAUGAAGGUCAGGUAACACUGACUGGAGGUCCGAACCCACGCACGUUGAAAAGUGCGGGGAUGAGGUGUGGGUAGCGGUGAAAUGCCAAUCGAACCUGGAGAUAGCUGGUUCUCCCCGAAAUAGCUUUAGGGCUAGCCUCGAGGUUGAGAGUUCUGGAGGUAGAGCACUGAUUGGACUAGGGGCCCCCACAGGGUUACCGAAUUCAGUUAAACUCCGAAUGCCAGCAACUUAUACUCGGGAGUCAGACUGCGAGUGAUAAGAUCCGUAGUCAAGAGGGAAACAGCCCAGACCGCCAGCUAAGGUCCCAAAGUGUAUGUUAAGUGGAAAAGGAUGUGGCGCUGCCUAGACAGCUAGGAUGUUGGCUUAGAAGCAGCCACCAUUCAAAGAGUGCGUAAUAGCUCACUAGUCGAGUGGCGCCGCGCCGAAAAUGUAACGGGGCUAAACAUACCACCGAAGCUGCGGAUUCCGUAAGGAAUGGUAGGGGAGCGUUCCAAACCGCUGUGAAGCUGUACCGGAAGGAGCAGUGGAGCGUUUGGAAGUGAGAAUGCCGGUGUGAGUAGCGAAAAGAGGGGUGAGAAUCCCCUCCGUCGAAAGCCCAAGGUUUCCUGAGGAAGGCUCGUCCGCUCAGGGUUAGUCUGGACCUAAGCCGAGGCCGAAAGGCGUAGGCGAUGGAUAACAGGUUGAUAUUCCUGUACCGCCGAUCCACCGUUUGAACAAUGGGGGGACGCAGGAGGAUAGUGACGCAUGCGGAUGGAAGUGCAUGUGCAAGUUUCAAGACCGUCUGAUUGGCAAAUCCGUCAGGCACCAAAGUCAAGGAACGAUGCGGAGUCCCGUAGGGACGUAGGUCACGAUUUCACACUGCCAAGAAAAGCCUCUAGUGAGGGGGAAGGCGCCAGUACCGUAAACCGACACAGGUAGGCGAGAUGAGAAUUCUAAGACGCGCGGGAUAACUCUCGUUAAGGAACUCGGCAAAAUGGUCCCGUAACUUCGGGAGAAGGGACGCUCUACACAUGUAGAGCCGCAGUGAAUAGGCCCAAACGACUGUUUAGCAAAAACACAGGUCUCUGCUAAAUCGCAAGAUGACGUAUAGGGGCUGACGCCUGCCCGGUGCUGGAAGGUUAAGGGGAUGGGUUAGCGCAAGCGAAGCUUUGAACCGAAGCCCCAGUAAACGGCGGCCGUAACUAUAACGGUCCUAAGGUAGCGAAAUUCCUUGUCGGGUAAGUUCCGACCCGCACGAAAGGUGUAACGAUUUGGGCACUGUCUCAACGAGAGACUCGGUGAAAUCAUAGUACCUGUGAAGAUGCAGGUUACCCGCGACAGGACGGAAAGACCCCAUGGAGCUUUACUACAGCCUGAUAUUGAGGCUUUGUGCAUGAUGUACAGGAUAGGCGGGAGACGUCGAGCCCGGAGCGCCAGCUUCGGAGGAGUCACCCUUGGGAUACCGCCCUUCAUGCAUAGAGUCUCUAACUCGCAGCCGUAAUCCGGCUGGAGGACCGUGUCAGGCGGGUAGUUUGACUGGGGCGGUCGCCUCCUAAACAGUAACGGAGGCGCCCAAAGGUUCCCUCAGAAUGGUUGGAAAUCAUUCGUAGAGCGCAAAGGCAGAAGGGAGCUUGACUGCGAGACCUACAAGUCGAGCAGGGACGAAAGUCGGGCUUAGUGAUCCGGUGGUUCCGCAUGGAAGGGCCAUCGCUCAACGGAUAAAAGCUACCCUGGGGAUAACAGGCUGAUCUCCCCCAAGAGUCCACAUCGACGGGGAGGUUUGGCACCUCGAUGUCGGCUCAUCGCAUCCUGGGGCUGGAGUAGGUCCCAAGGGUUGGGCUGUUCGCCCAUUAAAGCGGUACGCGAGCUGGGUUCAGAACGUCGUGAGACAGUUCGGUCCCUAUCCGUCGCGGGCGCAGGAAAUUUGAGAGGAGCUGUCCUUAGUACGAGAGGACCGGGAUGGACGCACCGCUGGUGUACCAGUUGUUCCGCCAGGAGCAUCGCUGGGUAGCUACGUGCGGACGGGAUAAAUGCUGAAAGCAUCUAAGCAUGAAGCCCCCUCCAAGAUGAGAUUUCCCUUUGAGUAAUCAAGAAAGACCCCUCAGAGACGAUGAGGUAGAUAGGUCACGGGUGGAAGCAUGGCGACAUGUGGAGCUGAGUGAUACUAAUCGGUCGAGGCCUUGUUCUA